ACAAGUAUAAGUCACCACCACCUCCUUCCCCAAUUUACAAGUCACCACCACCACCUCCUCCAGUAUACAAAUCACCUCCACCACCUCCUCCAGUUUACAAAUCUCCACCACCACCAAUUUAUAAAUACAAGUCUCCUCCACUACCUCCUCCAGUGUACAAGUCAUCACCACCACCUGCUUACAAGUCUCCACCUCCUCCAGUUUACAGUUCCCCACCACCACCAAUCUACAAGUCUCCACCUCCACCCUACCAUUACUACUACAAUUCUCCUCCUCCUCCUCGUCACUACUAAGCAAUUGUAUCCAAGUUUUUGAGGUAAUAACGUUUAACCAAUAAAUUAACUUUCGCAUGAUAAACCUUAUCUCUAUCUAGACAAACUGCCAUGUGUAUAAUGCCAAAUACGUACACCUAGAUCCAUGAAAAUGAGUGGUAGAAAGUUUUCUUAAGAACCAAGGAACAGCAUUAGUAUUCCCUCUGCUUCCAAACACUUGUGUAUUAAAUAGAUUAAUGAAUUGUUUAACAUGCUCAUCUACUUGAAAAUGCACAAUACCCAUAACCCACUGAAAUUUUUGCAGGAAAAGGGAAAGAGAAUCUGUGUUUGAGAGCUUCAUGAAGAUGUUGAAGAAUAAGAAUAAAAGCCCAAUGCGAGGAUGUUUUCAAGUUUUUCUAUGUUUCCACUUUAAUUUGUAAAUUGAAUUUUGCGACUCAAUUAAUUCCCUGUUUGUGGGGUACGUAUUGUUUUACGUACCAUGCCGUACAUGUUUGUAAGGAUUUCUAUCCUAUUGGCAAAAGUCGGUUCCGUACAAUUAAUCAAUUCAUUUCACUUCUAUUGGCUCUACUAUUUAUGCAUGUUACGACAUUUUUUCUCUCUUUCCCUUAUAUUUUGCCUUUAAUAUUAUUGAGUCAAUAUUAAUAAUGGGCCUUUUUCUUAAAAUUAUACUAUUAUACAUAGGUAGUUUGGUCUAACGCUAAAUUCAUGUUUGUCUUUCUUUUAUUCCCUUUACAUCUCAAAGUAUACUAUAGUUUGUAAUCAUUGUGGUGAUGAUAUUACCAGCUGGUACUUAUAGUUUAAGGCAGAGACAUGAUAUUAACAACUAUCUCAUUGAAACAUAAGGAAAAAUCAUGACAAGUGUGAGUCUUGGUUAAUGCACAAUUUGUUAGUGGAAUUUAUAUUUAUAAAACUCAAAAAAAAUUUUUGACAAUGCUAUUACUAAUUAAUUAAGGACUUUAUUGCUAUAACUUAUCGCUUACUAGUUUAAACUAUAAAUGAUCUCAAUACUUUUCUCCAUGAUGUCGAUUUCUUUAGACUACGAAAGGGAAAAAUUAGUGACAUAUCCUCUACUGAUUACAACAUCAGCAAAAAUUAGUUAUAAACUUUUCCGGUGGUUUUAAAUCCCUCGGGCCCUAAGAUUUUUUGCUCAUCGAGUGAAUUAAGGAACAUAGGCAAUUCGUUCUACAUACCAAGUCCUUGUUUAAGAUGCAAGUACUAAAAUGCAUCCACUUCAUUAAUUUGGGAAAUUGCCAUAGUUUUUUUUAAGCAUUUUGAUUUUUUACAUGAUUCAAAAUUUUCUGAUUGGAUACAAUCACUUUGUAUCAAGAACACAUUUUCAAUCACCUUUUUUUAUCUUCUCAAUAAGAAAAUAAAAAUUUAUUCAUGCUUUUCUAACAUAUUCAAUCAUUGAUCUGAAAAUUAAAACAUUAAAAAAAAAGGACAUUUUCAAUCACUGCUUACAGGGCAACUUCCCCAUGUGAACCUCUUCAAACAAAGCCAAUAAUAUGAAGGAAUAUCUAAAUAUACUUUUGCCCUAAAGGCUGGUUGCCUUGGGGUCAAAAUUUAACCUUCCGGAGUAUAAUUACCCUGCCAAAUUUAUUUUUUUUUUAUGGGUAUAUAGUUCCAAUUUUGCCUCCUGUUAAGCUUAUAAAUAUAUUAUCACCCAGAAAAUAAAGGAAUCUUGAAUACUAACAUGUCCAUUGACUUGAGUUGUCAUCAAUUUGGCUACUUCGAUUCCAUGAGGCCAAUCCAAUUCACACUAGCUAGAGAAAAUGGUGACAAAGGCACUUAGAAAAUUAUAUGUAAUAUUGAUUGGUAGUAACCAGCUUGUAUUGAUUGGUAGUAACCAGCUUGUGCUCUUAUGAAAAAAAAAUUAGCAAAAUUUAUGAGAACAAUUAAAUUUAUUCGUACAAAUCAGUCAAAGAAGUAGUAUUUUAAAGACCGUGAUGAAAUUAAUACUUUCAAGGUUUCUAUUAGGAAGACUUCCUUUGUUGGUGAAACUACACUAGGCAGAGUUAUAUGGUAUCAAAAAAUAGUUGUAUUCACGUCUGUUCUUUUUUUCUUCCUUAAGUUUUUUUCUUUAUUCUCGUGACUUCAAAAAUACGAACUCAAGAAAUUGGCUGCUCAAUCAGUAUGUCAUACAGGCUUCGCUAGUGAGGUAUAACUUCACAACUAGAGCCAAUAGAAAUCGUCAAAUGAUUUUUUGACAUCCAAAUUAAGCAAUAAAUUUUGUUUUCAUUUCAUAACAUAUAAUAGUACUACUUCAUGGGAGAUUUUAUAGUUUCUUUAGGGUAUCAUACCUACAAGUGAUAUUUGUCAUUGGAUAGUGAAAGAAGUGUUAAUGACUGUAAGAUUAAAUAUUGUUAAAUAUUGAAAAUUUAAACUAUUUAUCUUUAUUGAGAGAUACAACUUAAAGAAUCCUACCCAAAAGAGACUAUAGAAUUUUCUCUGUUUUUCAUCAUCUGUAGACAUAAAUUUUGCCUAUACAAUGUGAUAGCAUUUUUUCAAAAAGACAAGAUGGAAAAUUGCCCCCCUUGAACGGAAAAUUGCCCCCUUGUCAAUUCUUUAAAAAAGAAUACUCGCUCCUGAACAUAGCCUGUUCAUCUACACUGUCCCGCAGAAUUCUAGAAAGUUAGGCAAAACUAGACUAGUUGACAGGUAUAAUCAUACCCAACAUCAGGAACAAGCAGUUGCACAUUUCAAAAUUCGCUGCUGCAACAACUAAUUUGAUGACUUACAACACUACACGGUCAAACUUUGAAUGGCAAUGGAUCUUUUGAUGUAAUUUUCAUGUUACAUACAUUAAUAGAUUGAUAUCUAUAUUCUUUAAAUUAUCGUAAUAAUACUCUUAAUUACAUUUAAUUGAUAAAAAGAACACGUGUCAACACACAAAAAUGUGUAAUGUGAAUGUUACAUUAGUGUAUAGCAGAAGACCUAUAGUCUCUUCACAUCUCUUCCUGCACGUAUCAAUUCGUUUCCUCUAGAUAAUAAUCUCCCAACUCAUUUCUUUACAAAUGCACCUUUUAUGUUUUAUUACCUCCAAAAGCCUUUACAGGGUCUUUACCCUAAAAAUCAAUUCACCGACUCGCAUUUGAUAUCAGAAAUUCUUAUUACGAAUUCUACUUUACUCAAAGAUUGACUGUUAAUAAUGAGACAACGACCAUUUUGUAUUAUUACACCGUCCUUCUUGAUAGGCAAAAGAAAUAGAGAGGAAAGCGGGUCCGUAUAUGGUCUUUUAUUCAUAGAUAAUACAACAUUACGCCAUCGAGCAUUCACACAAUAUUUCAAAGUCAUUGCAUGCCUAAGACCCUGUUUGAUAAUCCAAUUCCAUACUUAAAUUUAAUGGAUUUAAAUCUUAACACAUUCAAAUCGUUUGAUAACAAAAAAUUGAACAUUUAAAUUAAUUAAGUAACACUGGAUUUCCAAGACAAAACUUGCUCCCAAAAUUAAGUGAUAAGUGAAUAACUUAUCACUGAAUGUAUGUAUUAGAUUUAAUACUUAAUAAUUUAAUAAUUUAAUGAAUUCAGAUUUCAGAUUUCAGAUUUCAGAUUUCAGUUUUCAGUUUUAUCACACACACCCUAAGUUACAAAUUAAUACCAAAACUUGUUAUUAUAUAGCUUGAGAUUCAAAAAUUUAGAGCAUAAUUCUCAACCUAACACAAUUGAAUAAUGAAUAUUCACGAUUGUCAAAACUAUCAAAGUACAAUUUGAGGACAACCCAUUCCAACGCGUACACGAUUUUUAACUUUUCUAAAGUUGUUGAGAGCUGUUGAAAGAGAUUUACCAUGUUUACAUCUUCCAAGUCUUGGGAGUAAAAAAUGAAGCCACUGAGUGCUAUAAAAAGGGGGCUAGAGGCUGCCUAGAAGCAUAUCAGCCUAAAACAAGAAUUUGUAGUAACAAUGGGGAGCAAAGCAAAAGCAACGGAGUCUAGGCUGACUCCUCUUCUUACCACUGUUUUAGUGGUAUUUGUUGCCCUUGGCUUGCCCUUGGAAACUGCAGCUGAUUAUUACAAGUAUUCAUCUCCUCCUCCUCCUCCUUACCACUAUUCCUCACCACCACCUCCUGAGUAUUCACCUCCACCAACCCCUGUUUAUAAGUUACCCCCACCAUCUCCUCCAGUUUACAAGUCCUCACCGCCACCUUACCACUACUCACCACCUCCGGUGUAUUCACCUCCACCAUCACCAGUUUACAAGUCACCGCCACCACCCCCUCCAGUAUACAACUCCCCGCCUCCACCAGUGUACAAAUACAAGUCCCCACCGCCACCUCCUCCAGUUUACAAAUCUCCACCGCCACCAAUUUACAAGUACAAGUCACCCCCACCACCUCCUCCGGUAUACAAGUCUCCUCCGCCACCUGUUUACGAGUACAAGUCUCCUCCACCACCUCCUCCAGUGUACAAGUCUCCACCACCUCCAGUUUACAAGUACAACUCACCACCACCUCCUCCCCCAGUUUACCAAUCUCCACCACCACCAGUUUACAAAUACAACUCACCACCACCUCCUCCCCCAGUUUACCAGUCUCCACCUCCACCCUAUCAUCACUACUACGGUUCUCCUCCUCCUCACCACUACUAAGCAAGUGCAUCUAAGUUUUGAGGUAAUAAUACCUAUCCAAAACUUUAUCAACACAAACUGCCAUGUAUAUCAUGCUAAGGACGUACACUUGAUCCAUGAAAAUGACUUGUAGAAGAUUUUUUUUAAGAACCAAAGAAAUACAUUAUUUUUUCGGUCUGUUUUCAAGAAUUUGAGCAGUAUACAGAUUAAAGAGUGUUUUUUUUUUUAAACUUGCUUAUCAACUUAGAAAUGCACAUAGCUGAAAGCCAACUGAAUAUUUGCAGGCAAAGGAGAAGACAAUCGGUGUUUGCGACCUUCAAGAAGAUGUAGAAGAAUAAGAAUAAAAGCCCAAUGCGAGGAUGAUUCCAAGUUUCUACGUUACCAUUUCUACAUCUAAAUUGACUCUAGCUCCUGAGUUCCAUGUUUAUGGGGUUUGUACCGUUUUACGUACCAUGCAGUGCAUGCUUGUAAGGUUUUCUGUCCUGUUGGCAAACUGCAGGUCCAUAUAAUAAAAGAAUACUAUUUAUAUUACGACACUUUUCUCUCUUUCUCUUAUAUUUUGUCUUUAAUAUUGUUGAUCAUUUUUUUUUAUUUAUCAAAAGUAUCAAAUGUUUAGGUAAUUUGGUCUAAUGCUAAUUGUUUUACUUCUCUUUUUCACCUACACCCCUUUUCAACUCAAAGGAUGCUAUAGUUUGUGAUAAUUGUUUAAGACCGAAGCAUGAUACUAAUAAAUAUCUCAUUGAAAGUCAAGGAAACUAACAUUAUGAAAAGUGUAAAUCUUGAUUUGAUGAAACUAUUUAUUCGUGGAAUUUAGAGAUACAAAACUCAAAUUGUGACGGUGCUGUUGCUAAAUUAUUAAGGACAUUAUCACCACUAUUUUUCCCUUACUAGUUUCAACUGCAAUGAUCUCAAUCUUUUUGUGACUAAUUCUUUUCUUAAUAAUUUAUAAAUACAAAACUCACAAAGAAUAUGUGACUAAUUCUUUCCUUUCGUCUUCUAAAGAAAAUGGCAACUGUUAGUUUAUCAAGGGAAAAAGGAUCGACAUCAGUUGUUAUUGAAACUAGUAAGGAAAAAAUAAUGGUGAUAAUGUCCUUAAUAAUUUAACAACAGCACCAUCAGAAUUUGAGCUUUGUAUCUAUAAAUUCCACGAAUAAAUAGUUUCAUCAAAUCAAGAUUUACACUUUUCAUAAUGUUAAGUUUCCUUGACUUUCAAUGAGAUAUUUAUUAGUAUCAUGCUUCGGUCUUAAACAAUGAUCACAAACUAUAGCAUCCUUUGAGUUGAAAAGCGAAGUAGGUGAAAAAGAGAAGUAAAAAAUACAAUUAGCAUUCCCUCAAAUCGUAGAAAGUUAGGUAGCAUUAUAGACAAGUUGAUAGCCGUAAUGAUACUAAAAAUCAGGCAAAAGCCAGCAAUUUUACAUUUCAAAAUUCACCUAUCCAAUAACUAAUUCGAUGGCUUGCUACAUGGUCAAUCUUUGGACCCCUUCCUGCCACCACAUAUCCCUUUCCUCAAUCAGGGGCUUCUACAAUUACCAGUUCCAAUUGUAUGGUAUAGUGUAAAUAUCAACAAAUCAGAUGUAGACGCUAAUUUAAUAAAUGUGGAUGCUAAGACAACAACAUACAAAAACAUAAUAAAUUUUGGCAUUCCUUAAAAAAAUUAAGUCCCCAAAUCAAUCUCAUACACCCAAUUUCUAAUUUAAUUUAACCCAUUCCCUCUAUUAACUACACCAUACAAUACAAUCGAACCCAUUCCCUUCUAAUUUCUUCACAAAAUGCACCUUUCAUCACCGACAUGAUCUUUACCCUAGAAGACUAUUCACCGACUCUCCAUUGACGUCAGAAAAUCUAAGAGUAAUUCUACUUUACCCUAAGAUUGAUAUCAACGAGACAAUAAUGACAAUUUAGAAUUAUUACACGCCUCUUCUUAAUAGGAAAAAGAAAUACAGAAGAAAGUCAGGCCAGGUCUAAUUCUUUUUCAAAGGCAAUACAAUAUUACGAAAUCAAGCAGUCAUUCAUACAAAUAUUUCAUAGUCACCGGCCGGGGUUUGCUGAGUAGAAAAGUUUAUACAAAAACUUAAUAUUAUAUUGUUUAAGAGUUAACAAUUUAGAGCUUAAUCUCCUUGUACUUUGGACUAAACUCGAACGUGAAAGGAAAUCCCAAAACCAUAUUGGGCAUGAAUUCACACUUAAUAGACCCAAAAGAAGAUGGCGACUGGUGAAAGGCAGUGGAGACUGGUGGAGAGAUUUGAGGAAUAGAAGCAGACGGAAAAGCAACAAAUUUUUGCCGAAAAACGGUCACUUUCAUGGUUAAUUUUGCUACUCUCUAAUUGUACUUGACCAAAUACAACAAUUUCAUGGAGUUUGAUACACAAGCCCAAAUACACGAGAGUGUGUAACCUGAAUUGUUACUUAUACAUUAGUGUGUAAUAGAACGGCAAGCAUUAUGGUGGUCAUUGAGCAACUUAUAGAAGAAAUAGUCCUAUAAGCUGUUCGAUGACCAAUCGCAACUUGCUAAUUGGAUGACUAAUAUAGCUCUAGCUGUAAUGUUUUAAUUAAAUUCCAUCACUAACGUUGGGAUGACUUUUUAACCAAAAAAAAAAAAAAAGCCUUAGUUCAAGCUUUUCCCCUUAUUGUGCAUUUUUUAAAACAUUUGAUAGGCACUGCAAAUCUGUCAUUUUGGACAUCAACCCAUAUCCAACACAAGAUUAAAUUAAUAUUAGAAAAAAUUAUUACGUAAUUGGAAAAAAAAAAAGAAGAGACUAAUUUUCAUUGAAACCCACCGACAAACUAAGCGUGUCCAUAGCUUUUGAUUAGUUCAUUGCCGAUCACAUGGAGUAAAGAUUGUGCUCUUUCCCUUUCCCCCCCUUUUGGAAUCGAUACUGUGGAGAAUUGGCUUUUUCCCUCCUUUUUUUCUUUUCUUUUCUUUUCUUUCCUUCUGUACUUUGCAAAACAUAGGUAAAAAUAUGAAAUCCGAAGCAUUCUUUAAUUGGGAUUAAGUAUUGUUCUUGAAAUUAAAAAAAAAAAGAAAGAAAGAACAACAAAAAUCCCAAUCUGGGUUGAUUGUUGAGCUCUAGAUUGGCUGCAUCGUGCUUCCAUAGAAGUUCUCUUAGUGUGAUACGCUGCUUUCAAUCAGUUUUAACACGGGAAAAAGAAAAGACAUGAAAAGCAAAUUUUGUGGGGAUAAUUUCGGUAACCUCCCCUGAAGUUUUUGACUAUUUUACUGGCCUCCCUUCAGAUUUUAAAAAUUGCACUAAUCUUCCUUAAAGUUAAUUAUCUUGUAACAUUUAGAUCCAAUCAAUAAUUUAAAAAAUGAUAUUAUGAGAGAGAAAAUAAUAUGAUUUUAUCAUUGCCCCCAUCUUACUACAUUAUUUAAUUAAUUUAAUAGCAACCCACACAUUAAAGAAAAAUGCAAAAAUUUGUUGUUUAUCAUUAAAGAUCAUCAUAUCGCAUAUAACAUCAAAAAAUAGUAUAUUAUUUAUAUUUUUCACUUAAUAUAAUAUCCAAAUUACUCUUUUCAGUUACAUACCCAUUGUUAGACAAAAUCAACAACAAAUAACCAAAAAAUUUGCAACCAAAAUAUUACAAAAAAAUAAACUUUAACAUCAUAAAUAUUUUUAUCAACAUAUUAAAGUUAGUUAUUGAAAUUUUUAUGGUGUUAAACUUCACUCUUUGUAAUAUUUUGGUUACAGAUUUUUUUGAUUAUUUGUUGUUGAUCGUGUUUGACAAUGGAUUUGUAACUGAAAAGAACAAUUUGGAUCUUACAUUAAGUGAAAUAUAUAAAAAUAUUAUACUAUUUUUUAUGGCAUAUGUGAUUCUUUUUUUUUUUUUUUUUUUAUCAGAACGGCAACAUUGUAUUAAUAGUAAACCAAUUACAGUAUAGGUGGGCAACCGCCCUCACAAUCUGCCUGGACUUGUUCCAGCAGCCAAACUGGGAAGUUUUCCUUCCAUUCAGUAUUUUGUUCCAAAGUAAUAGCUACUUUAGCUAGUUUAUGGCUAACAAAGUUGUUCACCCUAUUUGCAAAGGUAAAACAACAUUCAUCAAAUUUUAUUCAUGUACAAUUGUUGCUAUCACCACGUCCUCCUCCUCCUCCUCACUGCACACUACUUGACUACCACCCUUCGCCAACCUUGCUGUUGCAUGUGCAACUAUCAUGGCCUCUCUUAGCGCCUUUGCUUCUUCGACCUUUGGACUGGCACAGCUAAAAUUUGGAACAGCCCAGGCCCACCCGCAAUCUUCCCAACCAAUCCCUGGCCACCCUUUUCCCACCCAGCUUCUAUGGCAUGUGUGAUUCAAUCCUUCUUGAUAGGAUUGGUAAUAGAGGCAGAGGGGGGAGCCGGCUGCAUCCGGUCUACUUUUCAUAGAUAGUACAAUAUUGCGAAAUCGAUCGCAUUCACACAAGAAUAUUUCGAAGUCAUUGCAUCGCUAAGUUGCAAAAAAGUACAAACACUUGUUAUUAUAUAGCUUAAGAUUCAAAACUUUAGAGCACAACCCUCCACCUAACACAAUUGAAUAAUGAAUAUUCACGAUUGUCAAAUCUGUCAAAGCACAGUUUGAGGACAACCCAUUCCAACCUGCAAAAGAUUUUUGACUUUUUUAAAGUUGUUGAGAGCUGUAAAAAGACUUACCAUGCUUACAUCUUCCGAGCCUUGGGAGUUAAAAAUGAAGGCACUGAGUGCUAUAAAAAGGGGGCUAGAGGCUGCCUAGAAGCAUAUCAGCCUAAAACAAGAAUUUGUAGUUAUGAUGGGAAGCAAAGCAAAAGCAAUGGGGUCUGGGCUGACUCCUCUUCUUACCACUGUUUUAGUGGUAUUUGUUGCUCUUGGCUUGCCCUCAGAAACUGCAGCUGAUGAUCACUACAAGUAUUCAUCUCCUCCUCCUCCUUACCACUAUCCCUCACCACCACCUCCAGUGCAUUUACCUCCACCAGUGUACAAAUACAAGUCCCCACCACCACCUCAUCAUGUUUACAAGUACAAAUCUCCACCACCCCCACCACCACACCCAGUUUACAAGUAUAAGUCGCCACCACCACCUCCUCAUCCGGUAUACAAGUACAAGUCUCCUCCGCCACCUCCUCAUCCGGUACCACACCCAGUUUACAAGUAUAAGUCACCACCACCACCUCCUCAUCCGGUACCACACCCAGUUUACAAGUAUAAGUCUCCUCCGCCACCAGUUUACAAAUAUAAGUCUCCUCCACCACCACCUCCAGUGUACAAAUACAAGUCUCCACCACCACCAGUUUACCACUACAAGUCUCCACCACCUCCUCCCCCAGUUUACAAAUACAAGUCUCCACCACCACCAGUUUACCACUACAAGUCUCCACCACCUCCUCCCCCAGUUUACAAAUACAAGUCUCCACCACCACCACCACCAGUUUACCACUACAAGUCACCACCACCUCCUCCCCCAGUUUACAAAUACAAGUCUCCACCACCUCCUCACCACUACUAAGCAAUUGCUUCUGAGGUAAUAACACUUGUUCAAUAUACACACUUCUGCAUGAUAAAACAUAUCUCUAUCAACACAAACUGUCAUGUCUAUCAUGCUAAGUGCCUUCACUUCAUCCACGAAAAUGACUGCUAGAAAAUUUUUUUUUAAGUUACCAAAGAAAAGCAUCAUUUUUUCCCUCUGUUAUCAAGAACUUGUACAGUAUGUAGAUUAAAGAGUUUUUAUUUUAACUAGCUUAUCAACUUAGAAAUGCAUAUAACUGAUAGCCAGCUGAAUAUUUGCAGGCAAAGGAGAAGGAAACCAGUGUUUGGACCUUCUUGAAGAUGUAGAAGCAUAAGAAUAAAAGCCCAAUGUGAAGAUGAUGAUUUCAAGUUUUUCUACGUUACCAUUUCUAUAUCUAAAUUCGUUGUAGCGCCUUAGUUCCUUUGUUUAUGGGAUUUGUAUCGUUUUACGUACCAUGCAGUACAUGUCAUGUUUGUAAGGUUUUCUAUCCUGCCGGCAAAUCGCAGGUUCCAUGUAAUAAAUCAAUACUAUUUAUAUUACGACACUUUUCUCUGUUUCUCUUAUAUUUGUUUGGAUUGAGCUUUAUUUCCCCAAAUUUAUUUGCUUACAUCAUCAUUACAAUUUCUAAUACACCUUUUUACCUUCCCGAUUACCUUUUUAUCUCACAUACAUCACAUCACAAAAAGUGCUACAGUAAAAAUAUCUCUAAUAAUUCACAAUCCAAACAGACUUUUGUCUUUAAUAUUCUUAAUCAUAUUUUUAACAAAAAUAUUCAAAUACUUAGGUAAUCUGGUCUAAUGCUAAUUGUAUGUUUUACUUUUCUUUUUCACCUGCUCCCCUUUUCAACUCAAACGGAUGCAAUAGUUUGUGAUCCCUGUUUAAGACGGAAGCAUGAUACUAAUGAAUAUAUCAUUGAAACUCAAGGAAACUAACAUUAUGAAAAGUGUAAAUCUUGAUUUGAUGCAACUAUUUAUUCGUGGAAUAUAUAGUUACAAAACUCAAAUUCUGACUGCGCCAUUGAUAAAUUAUUAAUGACGCUAUCAUCAUUAUUUAUCCCUAACUAGUUUCGACUACAACUGAACCCAAUAUUUUCCCCAUGAUAAAAGUUUUUGACUAUUUUACUGGCCUCUCUUCAAAUUUUAAAAAUUACACUAAUCUUCAUUGAGAUUAAUUAUCUUGUAACAUUUAGUUCCGAUCAAGAAUUUAAAAAUGAUAUUAUGAGAGAAAAAAUAAUAUAAUUUUAUCAUUGCCCCCCAUCUUGCUAUAUUAUUUAAUAAAUUUAAUAGCAACCCACACAUUAAAGAAAAAUACUAAAAUUUGCUACUUUUCAUUAAAGAUCAAAUUGCAUAUGCCAUAAAACAUAGUAUAUCAUUCUAUGUGUUUCACCUAAUGUAAGAUCCCAAUUGUUAUUUUCAAUUACAAACCCAUUGUCAAACAUGAUCAACAACAAAUAACCAAAAAAUUUGCAACCAAAAUAUUACAAAAAAAAAUAAACUUUAACAUCAUAAAUAUUCUUACCACCUCCAGUGCAUUCACCCUCACCAACCACUAGUUUACAAGUCACCCCCACCACCUUACCACUAUUCCUCACCGCCACCCACAGUGCAUUCACCUCCACCACCACCUGUUUAUAAGUCACCUCCACCACCUUAUCAUUAUUCGUCACCACCAUCUGCAUUGCUUUCACCUCCAUCAUCACCAGUUUACAAAUCACCACCACCAUCUUCCCCAGUGUACAAGUCCCCUCCACCACCAAUUUACAAGUCUCCGCCGCUAUGUCCCCCAGUAUAUAAGUCAUCCCCACCACCGCCUCCAAUGUACAAGUCUCCGCCGACACCAAUCUACAAGUACAAUUCACCACCACCCAUGCCUCCAGUUUACAACUCCUUGCCACCACCUAUUUACAAACACAAGUCUCCCCCACCACUUCCUCCGGUAUACAAGUCAUCUCCACUGCAUCCUCCAAUUUAUGAGUCUCCUCGUCCACCAGUUUACGAGCACAAGUCUCCUCCACCGCCUCCUCCAGUAUAUAAGUCACCACCACUAUCUCCUCCAGUACAUGUCUCCACCACCGCCUAUUUACAAAUCUCCGCCUCCUCCAGUUUACAAUUCCCCACCACCACCAAUAUACAAGUCUCCACCUUCAUCCAACCAUUACUACUAUAAUACUCCUCCUCCUCCUUCGCACUACUGAGGAAUUGCAUCCAAGUUUUGAGGUAAUAACGCGUAACCAGUAUAAACUUUUGUAUGAUAAACCUUAUCCCGAUCAACACAAACUGCCAUGUGUAUCAUGCUAAGUACGUACGCUUAGAUCCAUGAAAAUGACUAGUAGAAGGUUAUCCUAAGAACCAAGGAACAUUAGUUUUCCCUCUGUUUCCAAAAACUUGUGUUUGUUUAACAUGCUUAUCAACUUGGAAAUGCGCAUUGCUAAUAGCCAACUGAAAUUUUUGCAGGCAAAUUGGGAAGAGAAUCAGUGUUUGAGCGGUUCAUGGAAGAAUAAGAAUAAAAGCCCAAUGCGAGGAUGUUCUCAAGUUUAUUAAUGUUUCCGUUCUAUUUUGUAAAUUGAUUUUUGCGACUUAAUUAAUUCCCUGUUUGUGGGGUUCGUGUUGUUUUACCUACAUGCCAUACAUGUUUGUAAUGAUUUUUAUUGCAAAAUGCCGGUCCAAUAAAAUAACUGUAUUCAUUUUGUGUCUUUUGAGUAAACUUCUAUUGGUUCUACUACUUAUUUUACGAUAUUUUUUUUCUCUCUUUCUCUUACAUUUUCCGUUUAAUAUUAUUGAUAAUUUUUUUAACAAAAAAGGUUGAUAUACUUAGGUAGUUCACUAGUUUGGUCUAAUCCUAACUUCAGGCUUGUCUUGUCUUUUAUCUCUACAUACCUUUUCAACUCAAAGGAUGCUACUAUAAUUUGUGAUCAUUGUAGUGGUGAUAUUCCGAGCUAUUACAUAUAAUUUAAGGCAGAGAUUUGAUCCUAGCGAGUAUCUCACUGACAGAUUAGGAAACAUCAUGAAAAGCGUAUAUCUUGAAUUAGUGCAACUAUUUCUUAGGGGAAUUUAUAGUUACAAAAUUCCAAAUUUUGAGAUUCUAUUACUGAUUAAUUAAGGACGUUAUCACUAUUUUUUUUUAAUUAUCACCAUUAAAUACCCCACAUACUAUAAGUUUUUUUAGGGCACAGGAAAAGAGGUGGGCCGAUGUUUAGUUAUCUACAAAAGUUCAAAUUUUGUAGAUAAAUUAUCAUGCGCCCUUAAAGAGUGCAGAAUACCAAAAAAAAAAAAAAAAAAAAAUCAUAUACUAUAACUAAUCCUAAUAUUUUUCCCUACGAUAAACUAACUCUUAUCCAUUUCUUUAGAUGAUGAAAGGAAAUAGUUAGUCACAUAUCCUCUAGUGAUUACAACAGCAUCAAAACAAAUUAGCACUCUUUUCCCGUAGUUUAAAAAUCCCUCAGCCACUAAGAUUUUGCAUAUCGAACGAAUUAAGGAACAUAGGCGCUUCGUGCUGGACAACAGUGUCCUUGUUGACGAUGCAUCCGCAUAUACUUCCUUAAGCAUUUUGAUUAUUUUAUGAUUCGAAUUUUUCUUGUCUGACAGCUGGACUUAAUUGAAAAACUCAAGUAAUAAUAUUCCAAAGCUGAUUCGUCAAAGUUUACCCAAUUGGUGAAACUUUCUUAAUAGAGCUGACUUUGUAUUACGUGACAAUGAUAUGGAUGCUCAAAGUUUUCAAUGGGAAAUUUAUAUGAGCUUUUCACGACAAAAUGUGUUCCGAUAAAGGUUCAUUCCAGAGGUUAAAAUUUUGUUUGUUAAAAAUUUACUUCUCAAGUCUUUGAUGCGAAAGUCUUGGUAUUUCCAAAAAGUCUUGAAAUCGCAGCAUAUAAGCCACUUUCUGUUCUCUUUUUUUCAUUGAAGUCUUUCCAAAUGUCAGUUCCAAAAGGAGUUUUUUAUGAAUUAUGAUAGAUAAUUAAUCUGACGGUCCAUAUAUAUGUGAUUUGCAAGAGGGUGUUUGGCGAAAUGGUUAGGCUUUCUAAGUAAUGAUAGGAAUGCCAUUUGCAAAGAAGGACAGGGGGCCUGUGCUGUCAUAUUUUAUGCGAUUUGAUCCGUUGUUGUAUAAGUUUAAAUUUUUGACGUGCAAUUGUGCUACAAUAUUAUACUAAAUAUAUGUGUGAAAUAUUUUGUCUAUAUACAUCACUUUUAUCGUGAAUACAACAGCUGAGUAUAAUAAUAUAAUAUAAUGUAAUUAUACACCAAAUAAUGUAACAAAUAUAACAAUCGAUCUGAAUUACACGAAAUCAUAACAACAAGAUCACCGCCUCCCAAAUUUUACAAAAUAAGGUUUUUUUUUUCUUUUAGAUUAUUGAAAAUUUUCAAAAAUAUUCUACAUAAUUUAAAUUUUUGUCCUACAAAAAUUAAAAGAGAUUUUAUAUUGCACGCUUAAGCUUAGAUAUAUUAAAGUUUGCCCCCAAGAUUAAUUUUCCGUUUUUAUCUAUGGUUUCUCAUCUAUGAGCCGAUCCAUAUAGCUAGUUAGACUGUACUCCUCACAUUUGUGGGAUUUGACACCCAAGAUUCUCCUUCUUGGAAUGUAAAAUGUAGAUCUUCUAUGUUAAUAAUUCAGGACCCAACUGUCAUAAACGAAAUGACUGAUCAACUCCUGUAAAUCUAAUUUAACAACAUUUAAAUGGAGAACUUUAGCUAAAAGAAUUAUGGUUAUUUUCCAACAUAUGCAAUCAUUGAUCAGAAUAUAUAUAUAUAUAUGUAAAAGACAUCUUCAGUCAUUUCAUAGCUUACCAGGCAAAUUAACCCCUAAGUGAACCUCUUCGAACAGAACUGACAAUAUGGAUGAAGAUCUGGAUAUUCUUUUAUCCUGACUCCUAAGGGAAAACUGGUUGAUCUAGAAUCAAAAUUUUACCCUAGUUACCCAGGCAACUUUUUUGUUGCCUUUUUUUUUUUUGGUAUAAAGCUCCAAUUUUGCUCCCUCUGUUAAGCUUAUAAUGCAUAUAAUUAUUAAGAUAAUAAAAGUGCCUUGAAUAGUAUUAAUAUAUGCAUUGACUUGAGCUGUCAUCAGUUCGGCCACUUCGAUUCCAUGAGGCCUUUUCAAUUCACACUAGCUAGAAAAUGGGGAGUCGUGAAAACCUUUUGUUCUAUUCAUUGCUAAGAUGCUUUUCUCUAUAAAGAGACUUCCUAACGAAAAUACUUUGUAGAUUUCUUUACUCCAAGUGGUGCAUGAAAAAUUAAUAUUUUCAAUUAACAAAUAAAAUUCCCUUUUUUUGGUGUAGAUUUCAUCCAUCCAGCUGUUAACACAUUCUAUAAAUCCGAAUUGACUAAUCUUUUCAUUUCCAUUUUCCAACUUGCGAAUACGGCAUCUUAUAUAAUGUCUGCUAAACACUAUAUAUUCUCUGCCAAAUAUGAAUACAUAUCACUUUUCUGAGCAAGUGCAGAGUCAUUAUCAUUUUUAUUCCCACAUAACAAAUUAGUGGUUGAGCAUCUUUACAUGCUAUCAGGUCACAAGUUAAUAAUCUUUUAAAGAACAUGUUAAAUUAAUUUAUUGGUAUGAAUAGUCAAAGAAGUAUGUUAAAGUUAGCAAUCUUUAAAAUAAUAUGUUAAAAUCAUUAGUACAAAUUAGUCAGAGAAGUAGCAUAAACACCACGAUGCAAUUAAUACUUUCAAUCUCAAGGUCUCUCUUACGGAAAUUUGCAUCGGUCAACAUACACAAAGCAUAAUUGUAUGCACGUCUCUCUAUCAUGGAAUUUGCAUAGGUCAAUAUACACUUGGCAUAGUUGAUAGUUGUAUGCGCGUAGGCAUGGCCAUGGUUCCAUUUGGAACUGGGAAUCAGACCGAAACCGGAUCGUUUGGAACCAGAUCAGAACCGGAAUCAAAACCAUGAAACCAGAACCGUGAUAGAACCUUGGAUAAAGGUUCCGGUUCUGGUUCUCUAAAAAAUAGAACCAGAACCAGAACCGUUAAAAAUAAUUAAUAUAAGUGGUGAGAUAAUUCAAAAAAAAUUAGUUGUGUUUAAUAGGUUUUAAGAAAGUUUAAAUUUUAUGGACUUUCUAUAUAUUUUAUUAAUUAUUUAAUUCUUUCUAUUCAUCUAAUAUUUAUCAUUAUAAUUUGCAAGUAUUAAAUUAUUACUUAAAAUUUUUUUUUUUUUUUGCUUAUUUGCUAUCAAAUGACAAGUUUUGAUGGUAGUAGCUCAUCUUCAAAAUCAAGCAAGCAAAAAAAUAUUUUUUGCAAUAUUUCUUCAAAUGGAAUCUUCAACAUUGAUGAUUGUCCAACUCAAGAAAGUCAACAUAUGACAACCAUUUGAUAGUGUAAUGUAUUUUUUAAUUUGACAAUGUAAUGUACUUUUCAUAAAAUUUAUAUUAUCUAUUUAUUACUUCUUACUUUGUAGAAUAAUAAUAAAAUUAAAAUAUGAUCUUUAUUUUGUAUUUAUUUUUUUACGUUUUAUUUGAAAUUUUAAAUAUAUUGUUAUAUUCGUAUUAAAAUUGGUAAGGAUAAGGAAUUAAAUAAAAUUGUAUAUAACCAUACAGAACCGGAAACCGGAACCAGAACUAUAAGGAACCAAAAUCAGAACUAUGCGGUUCUGGUUCUACCUCUUUGAAGAACCAGAACCAGAACCAUUUUAUAUGGUGCGGUUCUGGUUCUACCUUUUUUAAGAACCAGAACCGGCGGUUCUAGAACCGUGGUCAUGCCUAUAUGCACGUCUUUUAUUUUAUUUUAUUUUAUUUUUUGGUACUGUUCUUCCUUGCUUUAUAGUAUGCACGUUUAUUUCUUUGGAUUGCUUAAGAUUAUAUUGUUAAUAAUAGGGCAUUUAACCAUAAAUUAUAAUAAUUAUGAAGUAAUAUAUAUUAGAAAAUUAACACAAUUAUGAUUUUUUUUUUUUGUAAAUUCAAAUUUUAUUAAUAAGAAAUGAAAUAGACCGUAAGCAAAAACAAAAUCCUACAACAACUCUAGGACUCUACACCUUAUAUAAAAAAAAACUAGGACUCUAUACCUCAGAGAAGCUAAACAAUCCAACAAAUAAAAUGCAAAAUAAAUCACAAUAACGCAAAUUAUGUUAAGCUAAUAAAUACUACCAUGCAACAAAAUUUUUGUCUUUGUCCCGCGUGAAACUACGAAGUCAAGAAUUGACUCCUUUAACCAGUAUUGCCAGCGGGGCUCCGUCAGCAAGAUACAACUUUGCAAUUUUAUACAAUAGAAAUCCUCAAAUAGCUAUUUUGACAGGCAAAUUAAGCAUUAAUUUUGGUAUCCCUUCAUAAAAUACAAGAGUACUUUUGAUUAUAUCUAUAGAUCAACUUUCUAGGCUUGAUGUAUUAUAAGAAAAAUCUGCCUAAACAUUUUGAUAGCAUUUUUCCAAAAGCAGAAGAUGGAAAAUUGCCCAUUUGUAAUGGGGAGUUCGUGAUCUUUUCCUCAUUCUAGUCUACUUACAAUUCUUGGAAAAAGGAAUACUCACAUCUCAAACAACAGCCAGCUCAUCUGCGCUGUCCUGCAGAAUUCUAGAAAGUUAGGUGGCAAUGUUAAUAACAUUUCAAAAUUGACUGCUGCGAUAACUAAUUCGAUGGCUUACUACAUGGUCAACGUUUGGAUCCCUUCCUGCCGGCACUGUCCUUUUUGGAUGCACAUUUUUUUUCUCUAGGUAAUAUAAUCACCCAACUCAUUUCUUUACAAAUGCACCUUUAAUCACCACCAAAAGGUGUGGACAUGAUCUUUACCCUAGAAAACUAUUCACCGACAGGCAAAUUGACGUCAGAAAUACUAAGAGGAAUUCUAGUUUCCUUCGGGUUAAUGCCAUUUUGUACCCUUCAACUGUAACUCGAUUUCUAAGCUGUAAUUUGUGACAUUAUAGUCCUUAAACUAUGAAACCCUUCUUACUUAAGUAUAAUGGUUAAUACAAUACUGGUGAUUAGACAAGUAUGAAGCAACCAUAACAAAAAAAAAUCCAAAAUUAGAGAAAAGAAAGAUGUUUCGCGACCAAAGUAUGUAUCAAGGCAUAGUAUAGAAAUAAAAGUGUCAAAAUUAAGAGUUUAGGGAUAAAAAAGAAUCAAGAUAUAGUUUAGGGAUUGAUUUGUCUCAAUUAGAGCUUAGGUGUCAACUAAGAAGAGAGAUAUAGUUGAAGGGUAGAAUAUAGAUAUAAAGGUUCAAUGAUUGAUAUCAGUGAGACAAUGAUAACUUUGGAUUAUUACCAACCUCUUCUGGAUGGGAAAAGGAAAUAGAGAAGAAAGUCGGGCCUGGUCUAAGCCUGUUUCGGAGGCAAAACAACAUUAUGAAAUCACCGGCAUUCAGACAAAUAUGUCAAAGUCACCGGCAUGCUAAGUUGCAAAAUUUAUACAAACACUUAAUAUUAUAUUGUUCUUAAAAUUUUUGUUUAAGAUUUAACAAUUAGAGCACGGUACACGAAUUAGAAAUAUUAAAUAAUGAAUGUUCACGAUUGAUAAAGUUAUCAAAGUACAGUUUGAGGACAACCCAUUCCAACGUGUACAAGAUGUUUAGCCUUUGAAAAGUUAAUUAGAGAAGGUGACGAGAUUUUACGAGGCUGACAUCAUCUAGGCCUCGAGAGUAAAAAAUGAAGACACUGAGCGCUAUAAAAAGAGGGCUAGAUGUUGCCUAGAAGCAUAUCAGCCUCAGACCACGUUUUGUAGCAAUGGGGAGCAAAGCAAAAGCAAUGGGGUCUAGGCUGACUCCUCUUCUUACCACCGUUUUAGUGGUAUUUCUUGCUCUUGGCUUGCCUUCAGAAACUGCAGCUGAUUACUACAAGUAUUCAUCUCCUCCUCCUCCUUACCAUUAUUCCUCACCACCACCUCCUAUGCAUUCACCCCCACCACCGCCAGUUUAUAAGUCACCCCCACCACCUUACCACUACUCCUCACCGCCACCUCCAGUGUAUUCAUUUCCACCACCUUUGCCAAUAUACAAGUCUCCGCCACCACCUUACCAUUAUUCCUCACCACCACCCCCAGUGCAUUCACCCCCACCACCACCAGUUUACAAGUCUCCCCCACCACCUUACCAGUAUUCCUCACCACCACCUCCGGUGCAUUCACCACCACCUCCUCCAGUUUACAAGUCCCCGCCACCACCUUACCAUUAUUCCUCACCACCACUUCCAGUGCAUUCACCUCCACCAUCACCGAUUUACAAGUCUCCACCACCACCUUACCAAUAUUCCUCACCACCACCUCCACUGCAUUCACCUCCACCACCACCGAUUUACAAGUCACCUCUACCGCCUCUUCCAGUUUACAAGUCUCCGCCACCACCUUACCACUAUUCCUCACCACCACCUCCGGUGCAUUCACCUCCACCACCACCGGUUUACAAGUCACCUCCACCACCUCCUCCAGUUUACAAGUCCCCGCCACCACCUUACCAUUAUUCCUCACCACCACCUCCGGUGCAUUCACCUCCACCACCACCGGUUUACAAGUCACCUCCACCACCACCUCCAGUUUACAAGUCCCCGCCACCACCUUACCAUUAUUCCUCACCACCAACUCCAGUGCAUUCACCCCCAUCACCACCAGUUUACAAGUCUCCGCCACCACCUUACCAUUAUUCCUCACCACCAUCUCCGGUAAAUUCACCUCCACCACCACCGGUUUACAAGUCACCUCCACCACCUCUUCCAAUUUACAAGUCCCCGCCACCACCUUACCACUAUUCCUCACCACCACCUCCAGUGCAUUCACCCCUACCACCACCUGAUAGGGUAUAAUUUGUUAGUAUUUUUAUUAUUAAUUUUCCCUUCUAUCCCUGACAAAUAUUGUGUUAAUUGCUGAUAUUUACUCAUAUUUGGUAUUUGGAAUCAAUUUCAGGAAUGAAGCAGAAAACUACCAAAAAGGAGGGACUUUGUGAAAAAUAUGGAGACUUCUAAGGGCUUCAAUCCUUGGGCCCUUGAAUUGGUGGGGGACCACAAGCUAGUGAAAGGCAUUUGGUCAUUUGGGCUUCAAAGAAAGCAACGUAGAGAGACUUGGAACAAGAAGUACUUGGGAGGCUUUGUCCACAUGUGUGGGGACCACCUAGAUAGCUUUUAGUCAUCUUUCUUUUGUUGCUUUAAAAGGGGACAACGUACAGAAGCAAAAGAUAUCUAGGGCUUUAGUUUUAGUUUUUAGUUUAGUUCUAGUUUUCUUUCUUUGGACUGGCCUCUGACACACGCCAGGUAUUCGACAAUAUUCCCCAACGGGGAGAUUUUCUCAUGAGGCGUGGUUAAGCUUUUCAAGGGGACACUGACGAUUUGGUUCAAUUUACUGUGAGAUCGAAUCUGUUUUAUUUUUUUCUUCAUUUUGGUUUUUAUAUGUUCCUUGAUUUUAAUUGCUAUGGCCUUGUGUAUGAUUGAUUAGUGCACAAUAAUUAAUUAUUCAUAUAGGCUAUUUUUGCUAAAUAGGGGUAAUUGAAUCCGUAAUUGUUCGUUAUCUCUACCUCAGUAGCAACUGGCGUAAUUGGGUUUAUGUCAGGGGAGCAUAUGAUCUAAUUUAAACAAACCCUCGUAGCGUAUUUGUUGGUUAGGAUUGGGCCUUUCUAAUUAUUAUGCAAUCUAGAAAUUAAAUCCUACGGUCGUACCUAGGGUUAUUUUUGGGUUAGAGAAAUAGCUAACGGUCGUACCUUAGCUAUCGAGAAAUUAAGGAAGGGUUGGUUGUUUAUCGCGUGCAUGACAACUAUAACUAAUCUAUUGCUAAAUGUUGGAAUUAUUUCUGCAUCAAUGAUCAGUGCCUGAACCAUUUCUGAAGUGUACCCUUGGCUAGAGUUUCUCUUAAUUAUUUCUUUUAAUCAAUUAUUUUCUGCACUUGAUUUAUUUAGUUAGCAUUUAAUCCAAGAACCUCCCAUACUCUGGACUCUAGAAGAAACGAAUUAUCCCCAAUCCCUGUGGAUUCGACCCUGCUCGCCGCUAUAUACAAAAUCUGUAUUUUUCUUGAGUAGGUAAUUAUUAUUGCACAGGUUCGGCACCUGUCACCACCAGUUUACAAGUCUCCGCCACCACCUUACCAUUAUUCCCCACUACCACCUCAAACGCAUUCACUCCCACCACCAGUUUACAAGUCACCGCCACCACGUUCUCCAGUAUACAAAUCACCUCCACCACCUCCUCUAGUUUACAAAUCUCCACCACCAUCAAUUGAUAAAUACAAGUCUCCUCCAGUGUACAAGUCAUCUCCACCACCUGCUUACAAGUCUCCACCUCCUUCAGUUUACAGUUCCCCACCACCACCAAUCUACAAGUCUCCACCUCCACCCUACCAUUACUACUACAAUUCUCCUUCUCCUCCUCCUCCUUCUCACUACUAAGCAGUUGUAUCCAAGUUUUUGAGGUAAUAACGCUUAACCAAUAAAUUAACUUUCGCAUGAUAAACCUUAUCCCUAUCAAGACAAACUGCCAUGUGUAUCAUGGCAAAUCCGUACACUUAGAUCCAUGAAAAUGAGUGGUAGAAGGUUUUCUUAAGAACCAAGGAACAGCAAUAGUAUUCCCACUGCUUCCAAAAACUUGUGUAUUAAAUAGAUUAACGAAUUGUUUAACAUGCUUAUCUACUUGAAAAUGCACAAUACCCAUAACCCAUUGAAAUUUUUGCAGGAAAAGGGGAAGAGAAUCUGUGUUUGAGAGCUUCAUGAAGAUGUUGAAGAAUAAGAAUAAAAGCCCAAUGCGAGGAUGUUUUCAAGUUUUUCUAUGUUUCCACUUUAAUUUGUAAAUUGAAUUUUGCGACUCAAUUAAUUCCCUGUUUGUGGGGUACAUAUUGUUUUACGUACCAUGCCGUACAUGUUUGUAAGGAUUUCUAUCCUAUUGGCAAAAGUCGGUUCCAUACAAUUAAUCAAUUCAUUUCACUUCUAUUGGCUCUACUAUUUAUGCAUGUUACGACAUUUUUUCUCUCUUUCCCUUAUAUUUUGCCUUUAAUAUUAUUGAGUCAAUAGUAAAAUUAUACUAUUAUAAAUAGGUAGUUUGGUCUAACGCUAAAUUCAUGUUUGUCUUUCUUUUAUUCCCUUUACAUCUCAAAGUAUACCAUAGUUUGUGAUCAUUGUGGUGAUGAUACACUACAACAAAAAUGGCCUUUCCUGACAUGUCUAUAAGGACACUUGCUGGUUUUUGUCAUUAUAGCACUUCUAUCAUGACAUUUGUUAUCAAUUCACUAAUUUAUACUUUUUUUUAUUUUAUCUGAUAUAAAAAUAAUAAUGUGUCUUUAGAUUUCCUAUCAUGGCAUUUUAGAAAAUGUGAGAUACAACGAAAAAAUUAAAACAUAAAACGAUGUCGUUUGAUUUUGACGGAAGAUUCAUUUGCCAAAACACUUAGUGAAAUCUCAAAACUUUCAUUGUGUCGAUUCUUCUCCUCUCUCUCACAAACCCUCUCUCUCGGCAGACUAUCUCUCAAAACUCCCCCAUUUUGGUUCUUUUGUCUUCCGCCUUCGCCGCCGCCCCACUCCUCCAUUUUCGGUUGCUAACUUGGCCGCUUCUCUGCCCUAUUCGGUCAACCACGACACCUACACCAAUAAGUCUUCGCUCUCUUUGCUAGGACAAAAGGAAUAAAAAAACAGAUACUCAUGUUCUUUCCUUUUUCUUCUUUCCUCUGAAACCGAUCCCCAUGCUUCUCCGUACUGACUAGAUAUUCAGGUUGAGCGUGUUGAGGAGUAGAGUAGGCGAAGGUUGCCGCCAUCGUCUCAUUGAAGUCCAGCCACUACAGCGGAAAUCAUCACUGUAAAGUUUCCCGUACUCUUAUACCUUUUUUCCCCCUUAAUUGUAUUGUUUUCUUCUUUGUCUGCAAUCAUGUCGGUUAUGCUUUACUUUCGUCUUGUUAAUCGAUUUUAAGUGGCUGGAAUUGAUCAUAGGUUUGAGUAGAGUUUUAGAUUUAAAAUUCAAGCUCAGGCCGUAUAAGGAACUGAUGAAAAAGAAAUUUCAAAACUUUUCAUCCUCACUACUUGUUUGUCGGAAGGUUCGAAUGAAGAAAGAAGGAAAUUUGCAAUGGAAGUGAACAGAGAGAGAUGAAAGUGAUUGGAGAGUGAAAUUUUGCCUUGGUGAACUUUUCUUUUGUUUUUGAUCAUCAAGUGCAAUAGAAAAGUACAUUUAGUACAAUUUCCUAACUAUCUUAGAGGAAAUCUUGUUUGGAACUUUCGCUGGAUGCUAUGCAACUUAUUUUUGAUGCUUUGGUCAUGAUUGUUGUUCUGUUUGCUACAGCCCCAUAAGAAGGUUUUUUUUUAAUUAUUAUUAAAAAUUACCGCAUAGCUUGGAUACUUUUGCAUUCCAUGCACCAUGUCAGCUAUUCAUAGCACAUAGCACUAAAGUAGAGCACUCUGUAAUUUUGGAGAUGUUUCAUCUACGCAUUCAAUUAUUUCGAGUUUUUAGUCCAAUGGGUAAUAAAUUGGUUGUACAUCACUUAUUAUGUUGCAUCCCAGUUAUAUUGACCUAGAACAAUUACCAUAUAGACAAAAAGAAGAUAUUAACUGCAGCAAAUUGAAGAAUAAAAAGAGUAUUUGUCAAAUCUUUUCUCCCAACAUCCCUCGUAAUUCUUUCCCCCAACCUCAACUUAGGCACACAUUGUGUCUCUCCUUUUCUUCUUCAAACUAAAUGUUCUUCUCAUGGACAAAUAAGAAUAAUUUGAAUUUAUGAGGAUACAGAGGAAGAGAAUGAAGAUGGAGAAGUUAAUUGUUAUAACUCCAGUUAUGAUAAAGUUGAAGAUGACUUUACAUAAGAUGGAUUAAGUGACUAGUGCUCUAUUGUAAGAUGCUGGGUGCAUAUCUUAAUUUCUUUGAAUUGACUUUAUAUCUCAAAAAAAAAAAAAAUUGAAGGGAUUCUAUAUUUAUUUGACUUGUGUGGUAUUUAUUUGUGUGACUGUCUUGUUUUUUGUCUGCUUUUAUGAUCUAGAGCAUUGAUUACUCUAUAUUUUUAGACAAGAAUAUAUUGUUUUUGUUGUAGAAUUUCUGUAGAAAAAAUACAGAUCUUGCACAUUAAACCCAAUGGGGACUGUUUGCACUAUAAUGCAUUAUGGGCAACUAACAAAUUGGGAUUUGCUAGCCAUUCAAUAUUUUGUAAAUCCUCUGCAGUGUAACAUACUGGAAAUUGCCUUUCAGUUACAGUCUCCAGCGAAGUGUCCUGAUUUAGUCUUUCAAGUUGGAAUGUGACUAAUAGUUUCUUAUCUUUUAAAAGUUUGCCAAUUUCAGGAGGAUUGGUUACAUAGUUUUUUAAGAUUUCUUUCCUCCAGUGGGCACUUAAAAAAAUAGUGAUUAUUGAGUGCUUUGAUCUGUUGAAAUUUAAUUGAAAAUUUUCCGAUCAUUAAUUGACACACUUCAAAAUACUAAUGACUACAUAUGUCAAAGCACAACCUAGGAAAUUAUAUCAGCACGUGCUCCGAUUGUAUGGUACUAAACUUGCAGUGCUUCCACAAAGAAUGUGAAGAGCACAUAUAUACUGAUCAUUGAAAAGAUAGAUUUCUAUUAUGAUUCUGCUAAUGUUUGAAGCACUAAAUGUGAAAUUGCUAUCUAUUUUGAAUGAGUAUCUGUUUCUAUGAAAACUUUGGACAAAUAUGCAUAUGACAAUAGUUUCUAAUGAAGUUACAAACGAUGCUGAACCUUUGGCAUUAUACCAAGAAGGUGUUAAUCAAGUUAACUGGUUACACUUCUAAGCCCUUGCCUGUGGGCAGAAUCUGAGCUAGCUUUAUUCAUUUGUAGCAAGAAGUAAUUUUGCAUGCCAAUGCCAUGCAUUGUUGACUAACCUGUCGCAUUCAGUGUUUGGACAGGUGGGAGUAUAUUGGCGGCACUUGGUUCCUUUCAGCAAAUUUGGUUUUCAAAAUCUGAGUAAGCUUUUACAUCUACUCUACCUUUCAAUAUUCAACUUUUCUUCUUUUUUUCUCCCCAUUUUCAGUCUGUUUUAUCUCUCGAUUAAUAGGUUUGAGGAACAUGGAACUUCUUAUGUUCAAAGAAAAUGCCCGUAAAGUACUUUACUGGUGCGGACAAUUAUCACAUUAGACAGAAAUUCAUGGAGCUGACUUCACUUUGAUUAGUUCGCUGACGGUAUGGGUUGCUCGGUUUUAAUAUCCUGCUUUAUAGGAGCCCAAGCAAUGUACUAUAUAUAUACUAUACCUCUCGCGGAUCGUUGCUAAUGUUGUACAAUUACGUUACCUGACUUUUAGCAUUUCUUUCAACUGGUUAGGGAUGAGAGUCUUUUUGUUUGUGCACAAGAAAGUCUUUCAAGUUAUUGUAAAUGAGAAUCUUUCGGUAAUUUUUUGGGAUUUUAGUACUUGCUUUGAGCAUUUGUUUGCGAUUUUAGUACUUGCUAUGUUUGUACUUGUUAUUGACUUUUAAUUCAAUGAAUUAUAUUUGAGUAUCGACUUCUUCUUUUAAAUUGCUAUAUGCAUUCUGCCUUUUGGGAUAAUUUUACAAGUCCCUUGGGAUUCUGGUUGAUGGAAUGUACAGCAGGGAGGACUAAUUACAGGUUGCUUCCAUAUGAAAAAAAAACAGGAAAAAACUCCUGGCAAUUAGAAGUGUCAGCAUAGCUUAGCUUCAAAAAACACUAAUGACAAAUGGGCAUGUCAUCCAAAGCAGUGUAAAUUCACAUGGCUACGUGUCCUUAAAGCCAUAUAUUAAGACAAUUCAAGAUGCCUUCAUAAAUUGGAUAUACUACUAAUCCGCUACUGAUGUUCUAAUGCUAUACGGACACUUUCGAUUAUCACAAAAAAAAGUUUUUGUUGGCAGAGGGAAUGCUAUAGCAGCAUGGUUUUCCUGACACAUUUGAAUGUUGCCAAAGAUUUGAGGCUAUCCCCACAUUGGAAGGGACAACACUCGCCCUAGGUGUGAGGAUAGAUAAAAUGUCAGGUUAGAUUAUCUAUACUGACACCUUUAAAUGCCGCUAAAGGCCAUUUUUGUUAUAGUGAUAUUACCGGCUGGUACAUAUAGUUUAAGGCAAAGACAUGAUAUUAACCUAUCUCAUUGAAACAUAAGGAAAAAUCAUGACAAGUGUGAGUCUUGGAUAAUGCACAAUUUGUAAGUGGAAUUUAUACUUAUAAAACUCAAAAAAAAAAUUUCACAAUGCUAUUACUAAUUAAUUAAGGACUUUAUUGCUAUAAUUUAUCGCUUACUAGUUUAAACUGUAAAUGAUCUCAAUAUUUUUCUCCGUGAUGUCGAUUUCUUUAGACUACGAAAGGGAAAAAUUAGUGACGUAUCCCCUACUUAGUUAUAAACUUUUCCAGUGGUUUUAAAUCCCUCGGGCUAAGGACGUACACUUGAUCCAUGAAAAUGACUAGUAGAAGAUUUUUUUUAAGAAUCAAAGAAAUGCAUUAUUUUUUCGGUCUGUUUUCAAGAAUUUGAGCAGUAUACAGAUUAAAGAGUGUUUUUUUUUAAACUUGCUUAUCAACAUAGAAAUGCACAUAGCUGAAAGCCAACUGAAUAUUUGCAGGCAAAGGAGAAGGCAAUCGGUGUUUGAGACCGUCAAGAAGAUGUAGAAGAAUAAGAAUAAAAGCCCAAUGCGAGGAUGAUUCCAAGUUUCUACGUUACUAUUUCUACAUCUAAAUUGACUUUAGCUCCUGAGUUCCAUGUUUAUGGGGUUUGUACCGUUUUACGUACCAUGCAGUACAUGCUUGUAAGGUUUUCUGUCCUGUUGGCAAGCCGCAAGUCCAUAUAAUAAAUGAAUACUAUUUAUAUUACGACACUUUUCUCUCUUUCUCUUAUAUUUUGUCUUUAAUAUUGUUGAUCAUUUUUUUUAUCAAAAGUAUCAAAUGCUUAGGUAAUUUGGUCUAAUGCUAAUUGUUUUACUUUUAUUUUUCACCUACAUCCCUUUUCAACUCAAAGGAUGCUACAGUUUGUGAUCAUUGUUUAAGACCGAAGCAUGGUACUAAUAAAUAUCUCAUUGAAAGUCAAGGAAACUAACAUUAUGAAAAGUGUAAAUCUUGAUUUGAUGAAACUAUUUAUUCGUGGAAUUUAGAGAUACAAAACUCAAAUUGUGACGGUGUUGCUGCUAAAUUAUUAAGGACAUUAUCACCAUUAUUUUUCCCUCACUAGUUUCAUCUGCAAUGAUCUCAAUCUUUUUGUAUUGAUCGGUUGUAAUGAAUCGCGAUUGAUUGGUUGUAAUCCGCUUGUAUUGAUCCCACUAUUGUGGAUACUUCUACGCUCAACAAAAAAUAUAUAUAUUAAAGAAUUAGCAAUAUUUUUUAGAACAAGUUAAAUUUAUUCAUACAAAUUAGACAAAGAAGUAUUUUAAAGACCAUGAUGAAAUUAAUACUUCCAAGGUCUCUAUUAGGAAGACUUCCUUGCCUUGAGUUGCAGUUGCGUGCAGAUGUUUAUAUUUCAAAUUGAUGGUAUAGUAAAAAUGUUGAAUUUCUUUAUCCCCGUGACUUCAAAAAUAUGAACUCAAGAAAUUAACUUCUUAACCAGUAUGUCAUACAAGCUUCACAAGAAAUGUAUAACUUUGCAACUAGAGUCAAUAGAAAUCGUCACAUAAUUAUUAAUUUUACAUCGAAAUUAAGCCUGUAUGACAUACUGGUUCGAGGUUUGGCCACGCUACCUUCCUAUUGUUUAAAAAUUCUCACAUAAUCCCUUGUACUUUGGACUAAACUCGAAUGUGAAAAGAAACCAUCCAAGCUAGUUUGGGAUACACUUGUUGCACUUUGAACUAAACUUGAACGUGAAAGGAAAUCCCAAAACCAUAUUGGGCAUGAAUUCACACUUAAUAGACCCAAAAAAAGAUGGCGACUGGUGAUGGAGGUGAAAGGCAGUGGGGACUGGUGGAGAGAUUUGAGGAAUAGAAGCAGACGAAAAAGCAACAAAUUUUUGCCAAAAAACGGUGACUUUCAUGGUUAAUAUUGCUACUCUCUAAUUGUACUUGACCAAUACAACAGUGAAAUUGUAAUUUAUGCUGAAGAUGGAGUUUGAUACGUGAAGAGAAUUUUUUAUAAAUUUUAUUUUGACCCAUAAUGUUAUCUUUAGAUACAAAAAAUAUUUUAAAAUUUUGAUUUUGGCCCGGUUAACUUUUGGUAAACAAAAAAUGCUCAUGCUUAGUGACAGGUUGUCGAUGCCUGUGCAAAAAUAAAAAUAAAUCUAGUUGCCAAUUAAAAUAAUCAGAGCCCAAUUCUGAGUACUGGAGCAGGGACUCUAGGUGUGCAAUGGGUUACUUGAUUCACUCUAUUUCCGAAGAGUUUGCUUAACCCGAUAUACCAGAAUGGGAUUGCUUAUUCAAAAGGAAUUGUUGAUUUGUAAACAGGGCAAGUAGGGUCGUAUUCUCAGGUGGGCUGGCGGUGCGCGGUCAAUCGACGGAGAAAGAGAGGAAAGGACGCGGGUGGAGGUUUUUGGGUUUUGGCCAAGAGAAGAGGGAACGCAGGGAAAGAGAGAGAGAGGGGCGGUGCUCGGGAAGGUGAGCGGCGGACGACGGCUAGGAGGGAAAAGGAGGAGCGGCGUGCGAAGUUAGAGAGGAGGAGGGAGGCGGCAUACGAAGGAAAAAGAAAUCAAGGAAGAAGAAAGAAAGAAAAGAGGAAGAAAGAAAAGAAGAAGGAAAAAAAAUAGUUUUUGGGUUUUUUUUCAAUUUUUUUUUAUUUUUUUGAAUUUAAAUGUCAAAUUUUGAAUUUUUGAAAAAAAAAACUGAAGGUUAAAAAGGAAAAUAAUUUUAUUUUGCUAAAAAAAAAUUUUUAUUUUUUUAUUUUUUUUUGUUUUGGAUCGUCAAACACAGCGUGGGCACGCCAAAAUUAUAAAACGUCCACUGAUCUUGGGAGUCACUGACACGGCGUGGGCACGCCAAGAUUUCACUUCCUGCCAACGUCGCGAGAUGUUGAAAUUGUACUAACAUGGCGUGGGCACGCCAAGAUUGGUAAACAUCCACUGGCCUUGGGAGUCACUUUUUGAGUGUCCUCCUCGCGUGGGCAUGCCAAGAUUCUAUGUCCUGGUCACAUUGGAGAAAAAUAUGAAAAUUGACUAGUACCCAAAUGAAAAACGACAAAUCGAAAGAAUUGAACAACAAAAAAUAAUAAAGCUAAUAUUUGGGUUGCCUCCCAAAAAGCGCCUUUUUUAACGUUUUUUGUUAGACGUUGAACACCACUCUUCAAUUUGGAUGUAAUUCAAUUUUCCUUGUAAUCGGUGGUCCUACUCCGGGUUCCAAAUAAUCAUUGAGUGCAGCCUUCUUUCUUUAUUUUCUAUUCAUUUUCACCUCAUAAAUUGCUUUCAUUCCCUGAUAUUUGUUCGCAAGAAUUUUGAAUUUACCCCUACAACCAAACUCAAAAAAUUCUUGCACAAAGGAAUUAGUAGCAUGAAUAGCAAACACAGAAUGAGAGUUAACAGUAUGUUUUAUUGUAUUAAAAAUAUUAAAAUGGACUAUUUCUCCAUCGAAUUCCAUUGUGAGAGUACCCUUACUAACAUCAAUCUUAGUUUGGAUAGUACUCAAGAAUGGCCUUCCUAAUCUAAUGGAUGAUGGAUUUGGGACACUUUCAUCAUCCAUAUAAAGCACAUAAAAAUCAGCAGAAAAAAUUAAUCCAUCUACUUGCACUAAAACAUUCUCAACUACCCUAUCUGAAUAAGUAAAUAUACGAUUAGCCAAUUAAAUUAUUAUCCCUAUUUCUUUUAAAGAUCCUAAAUUUAGGGAAUCAUAAAUUGAUUUAGGCAUCACAUUAAUAGAAACUCCUAAAUCUAGCAUGGCAUUUUUUAGAUUAGAAUGUCCAAUCUUACAUGGGAUAGUAAACAUACCUAGAUUCCCGUAUUUAGGUGGUAGUUUCCUUUGUAAAAUUGCUGAAAUGUUCUCAUCUACCACAAUAUGCUUGUCCUCCCUCAAUUUCUUCUUGUUGACACACAAGUUUUUCAAGCAUUUAGCGUAUUUUGGCACUUAUUUGAUCGCGUCCAACAAAGGAAUAUUGAUUGCCACCUUGCGAAAAAUGACGGAAUUUUUAUAUCAAUGCAAGUUUAAAUUCGAUUUUAUACCCGUUGACUGCAAGUAUACAGGCCGAAAUUGUAAUGUAGGGUAUGUAUCGGGUCGAUCCCACGAGGAGCAAAUUAAACAAGUACUAAGCCCUUAUUUUUCUCUAUUAUUUAGACUCACAAUAAAUUUGAACAGAGAAAGUAUAUUGCUAAAAUUUACAAAUUUGAUAUACAAAUAUAAUUUAACAAAUGCUAAAUGCAAAAGAAGAAAUUUCACUCAAGGAAGAAUUUAGGGAUGUAGAUUCCACUUAUGGCAUAAACAACACAAAUGAAUGGAUUUACCUCUUAUUAUUAUUCUUGUUUAACUAGGGAUUCAUUUCCAAAAUUAUCAAGUCUCAUUUUCAUGAUGAAAUGGCCUAGACCAAUAUAGUUUUCCCUAUUUUCAUGGUGAAAUACUACUACUACUCUGUUUUAUUUCAUGAAAUGCUGAAUAAUCCACCUAAGUGUAUCUCUAUUUUCAUGAACAUACAACUUAAGCUCUACUCAUUUAUUUCCAUUGUUACUACCAAUUCUCAUUGAAUAAUAACAACUAUAAACAUACUAUUGGUGAUCAAUCAAUAACAAGUAAUCACAACUACACAAGUAAACAAGUUAAUACAAAAUAUAACAAGUGUAAAUCACAUUCAAGUCAUAUUAUUUAGCCAUAAGUUUCAUCUACUUCCUAGAUAAAGAAAAUUAGCUACUCAUGAAUGAUUUAACAAUCAAACUCACAAGUUUAUUAAUGCAAAAUAUCAUAAAGUACAAGUACAAGAAAGAUAAAAGAAAUCUUAGCCAAUUGAUGGUGAAUCCCUCCAAUUUCUGCUAUGUUCUUGUACAAGAUGAUUACAACUGAAAACUCCAAAUGCUUCUCUAAGGACUCCUAGCUAGAGAGAAAAUGUUACAAGAAGGAAAAACUAGCUACGUAUGGUCCUGUCCUGCUUCUCCCCUGUGUUUUUGCAUAAAAGGUAGUAGAAAGUCUAUUUUCCUCUUCAUAAUUUCCUCCAUUCAGAUUUUGUAAAAAGAAGUCAAAGAUAUGAUGUUUCCUUUUUUCUACAACUCAUUUGGUCUUCUCUUUUGUUGCAGAAGCAUGUGCCACCGAUUUCUAUCCCUCAAAAUAGUUGAAAAAAUUGUGAGAAAGGUAAAGAAAAACAGCUGUGUCACUUGCUGAGCAGAGAGACAAAUCCGAGCCUCGGAUCCGGGGGUGAAACUGGAUCCGAGGACUUCCCAAGGUGGAUCCGAGGUCGGAUCGUUCUGACCUUGGAUACACUCCUCCAAAAGUACAUACGAGGGCUCGGAUCCCUCUUGUUCACACGGAUCCGAGCUCGAAUCCGUGUUGAUUAAAUUUUCAGUUUUUCACUUCUUUCCUUUUUCUACAUUUUUGCUCCCAAUUUCUUUUGUACUUUGUCCUCUGGAUGAUCCUUGCAUUUCUUUCAACUUCGUGCACGAAUUUCAUACAUCAAUAACCUUCACAAUUUCACAAAAUUAACUCAUUAAUCCACUCAUUUAUCAAGUUUUGAACACUUAAACAAUAUUUUAAGUAAUUAUCACUAAAAGAGUUCAAAUAUGGCUUUAAUCUUCUCAAAACAUGCCAAAGAUUCAUGCCAAAUCUGUACAAAAUGUACGUUAAAUAUUCACUUAUCAAAAAACCUCUAAAAUCUCCUUUUCUUUAUCUUGCUUCUUUGAUUUCUCUAACCUGCUCGGAAAAGGCGGUAAGUUAGUUCCAACUCUAAUUAUAGAAUCAGGAAUUAUCUUUGGAUUCGCAUUUCUCAUUCCUUCCUCCUCAAGCUCUUUGUCAAUUCAAUCUUCAUUUUUAUCUUUCGGAAUCACAAGUUCGGAUCUCUGAAUUUUCUUCCCGUUCCUUAAGAUCAUUGCACUUACAUUUUUCAGGUUCAGUUCAGGUUGAGACGGUAAUUUUUCAUAAACUUGGGAUUCCAGGCGGUUGAUUGCUAUUGCCAUCUAACUCAUCUGAUUCUGCAUUACUUGCAUCUGUCCCAAUUGAUUUUUCAUACUUUGUAGGUCAGAAUCCAUUUUUUGUUGAUUAGCAAUUAAUUGCUUCAUCAUCUCUUCUAUAGACAGACUUGAGUUUGAAGGAGGUGGUGGCGGGCGAGACUGAUACUGUUAUUGAUACCCUUGCUGUCUAUUUGGUGUAAAAUCUGGCUGCCUAUUUCCUCCAUAGUUGAGGUUGGAAUGAUCUCUCCAACCAGGAUUGUAUGUAUUCGUGUACGGGUCGUAUGGCUUUCUUAGCACGGGCGCGUAACCAGCCAUGUUCACUUGCUCCGUACUUUUCUCUUGAAUCAUUGAGCACAUCUCUGUAGAAUGACCCAUAGCAGUGCAGAUCCCACACAAUUUGGCUCGUGAUGUAUUUCCUAUAGCUAAUUGCCUAACAAAGGAUGUUAAUUCGGUCAACUGCUAUUGGAUGGAAUAUGUCUCUACCUCAUUUACUUUGCGUGUCGGGACAUCUUCCCUCGUAUCAAACUGUUACGAAUUCUCCGUCAUUCCUUCAAUUAGCUCCUACGCUUCUCAAGAAAUUUUGUUCACCAAUGCCCCUUCACUUGCAGCAUCAAUUAUACUCCUGUCUCUAAAAAACAGCCCCUCGUAAAAAUAUUGGAUGAGCAAUUACUCACUUAUUUGGUGUUGAGGGAACUUGAUGCAUAACUUCUUGAAUCACUCCCAAUAAUCAUAAAGCGACUCUUCUAGAUACUGCUUGAUACCGCAUAUCUCCUUCCUUAGGCUUGCAGCUCGAGACGCAAGAAAAUAUUUGUUCAAAAACUUUUUCUUCAACUGAUCCCACGUGGUGAUGCUACUUGGUGGUAAGUAGUACAGUCAGUCUUUUGCGGAGUCCUUCAAGGAGAAGCAGAAUGCUCUCAUUUUUAUCUGUUCUUCUGUAAUUUCCGGAGGUUUCAUACUGUUGCAAACGACAUCAAACUCUUGCAAAUACUUAUACGGUUCCUCACCUGCUAAAUCAUAAAAAGAUGACAAGAGAUGAAUUAGACCAGAUUUUAACUCAAAUGGAGUGGUUAUCAUUUAAAUAUGGAAAAGUAAUACAUAAGGGCUGCUGUUUUAAAUCAGGAGCAGCAAACUCCCUUAGUAUCCGUGCAUUAGCCAUAGUGACUUCUUCUCGAUCCGAGUCACUAGAAGUAUCACUAUGUGAAUCUGUUAGUUCAACUUCUGGCUUAGGUCUUUGAGAUGAAGCACUGGAGUGCUCUUCUCUAAGUUGUCCGGUCUCUUUCCUUAUUUUAUGCGCAGUCUUCUCUACCUCGGGGUCAAAAAUUAAUUCACCUGUAUGAGAAGAAUGAGGCAUAUACUAGGAAAGCACUAGAAAAUUAGAACAAAAAUGAACCUAAAAAGAAACAAAUAAACCAACACCAGUCCCUGACAACGGCGCUAAAAAUUGACAGGUUAUCGAUGCCUGUGCAAUAAUAAAAAUAAACCUAGUUGCCAAUUAAAAUAAUCAGAGCCCAAUUCUGAGUACUGGAGCAGGGACUAUAGGUGUGUAAUGGGUUACUUGAUUCACCCUAUUCCCGAAGAGUUUGCUUAACCCGAUAUACCAGAAUGAGAUUGCUUAUUCAAAAUGAAUUGUUGAUUUGUAAACAGGGCAAGUAGGGUCGUAUCCUCAGGGAUUGGAAAAAAUUUGUUUCUUUUCAAAUCCACAGUAACAAGGAGGUGUUUUUGUAUAAACGAUAACAAUCUAAGGAGUGCAAAUAGAAAUAAAUAGAUAACUAGAAAUUAAAUGACAAUUCACUAAAAUUAGAAUAAUAAUAAUUAAAGGUCUAGCCAAGAAAUAAUUUCAGCAAUGGUUCACCUAAUUGAUCAUCGACGCAAAGGCAAUUCCAAUUAUUUACUAAUAAAUAGAUUAUAACUGUCAAACAAGUGAUGAUAGUCAACCCCUCCUUACUGUAUCAGUGAUUAAGGUAUGUCCGUUAAUCACUGCUAUAAUUGAGAAAUAAUCUUAGGUACGUCCGUAAGAUUUAAUUCCCCAAUUGCCUUACGUAUUAGAGGAGCCCUAUUCUAACCAAAUAACGCACUAUCAGGAUUAUUUUAAAUUAGCCCAUGUAUUCCCUUGAUACAAACCCAAUCAUGCCAGUUGUCACUAUUUCAAGGCAAUGAAACAAUUACGGAUUUAAUGCCCUAAUUGACUAUAGGUUACUAAAUCAAUUCACUAUCUCGAUCCAAGAUAAUCAAUCAAUUUAACAACUAAUAGCACUGCAAUCGGAGAAUAUGUAAAUACCAAUAAAUAAGAGGAAAAGAUAAAAUUAAAUCGAUCUCACAAUUUUUAGACAAACCAAAGCAUCAGUUAUUUCUUGACUAGAAAAGAAAAUUUAGUUCAUUCCUAAUGCGAAAGACCCACGCGAGAAUUCAAAAAUAAUAUUCACGGACAUCGUCUUGAUCCAGUAGAUUCAAUUGCGUUGGAAUAAGGAUAAAAAACCAAACUACAGAGAGUGAUUCAUUGUUUUGUUUCGUCUGCACUUUUUCUACACAUACGGAAGAAGAAAAACAACUAAAGGAUGAAAAAAGAAAAGUCAAAGAAAGCCACCCAAAGUAGUGCUUGGUCUCUACCAUCCUAUUUCCUAUCUAAUUACUACUUCCCUUCUGCGGCUGCCUAGAGGAAGAAAGAAAAGGAGACUCCAGGUCUUGUUCCAUCUCCUCCCUUUUCGGCAAUUCCCCAAAAGUAGAAAAGUUCCUCCGUUUACCAAAAUGCCCCUGGAAUGAGGACCGCUACUUGAACUCAUUUCCUGAUGACUGUCAAAUUGACACUUGUUAUGGUAUUUGCGUUCCACUCCCUGUAAUAAAUGCAAAUUGUCAAAAGUGAGUAAAAUUUGACAAUUAAUUUAAAUCGGGUCAGGUAAUAGGGGAAAUUAAUUAUAAAAUAAAUGAUAAAAUUGUAACCUAUCACUUAGAAUAACUAGAAAUAAAACAAAACAAGAAAUGAAAGAAAUAAGAGGGGUAGCAUAGACAUUUUGGAUUUUUCUGUUAAUUUGGAUGAUUUCCACCCACGGUCUAAUUUAAUCCAAAACACAAAUGGAUUAUGUGGAGGUUUUUAAACAAUGAGGGAGUAUCAUGAUCGAAUUCUAAAACACAAAGGGGAUUUACUAUAUUUUACUCUUAAAUUUUGGUUUCAUCUCAUAGCAUACAAGAGUACUAUUUCACUGUCUGUCGACAAAGAUUUUCUAUGGUUGAUGUACCAUAGGAAAAAUCUGCCUAUACCAUCAUUUGGAAAAAUUAUCAAUCCAAACAUAGCCACCAUAGCAUUUUUUCAAAAACACAAGAUGGAAAAUUGUCCCCUUAAACGUUGAAAUUCAUGAUCUUUCCUCGACCUAGUCUACUUGUCAAUUCUUGAAAAAAGAAUAGUCACGCCUAAAACACGGCCUCUUCAUCUGCAGAAUUCUAAAAAGUUAGGUAAACUCUAUAAACAAGUUGAUAGGUACAAUCGUACCCAAGAUCAAGUACAGGUAUUUGUACAUUCACUGCUGCAAUAACUAAUCUGAUGACUUACAAACACAUCAUGGUCAAUCGUUGAAUGGUAAUGAGUCUUUUGUUAUGCAUUAGUAUUAGUGUGUACACUCUAAUAGAUUGAUACUUAUACACUUUAAAUUAUCAUAAUAAUACCCUUAAUUAACUUUAACUCUUAAAAAGAAUACGUGUUAAUACACGAGAGUGUGUAAUAGAACGGCAAGCAUUAUGGUGGUCAUUGAGCAACUUAUAGGAGAAAUAGUCCUAUAAGCUGUUCAAUGACCAAUCACAACUUGCUAAUUGGAUGACUAAUAUAGCUCUAGCUGUAAUGUUUUAAUUAAAUUCCAUCACUAACGUUGGGAUGACUUUUUAACCAAAAAAAAAAGCCUUAGUUCAAGCUCUUCCCUUUAUUGUGCAUUUUUUAAAACAUUUGAUAGGCACUGCAAAUCUGUCAUUUUGGACAUUUUAUUAUUAACUAACCAUGAAAGCCGUGGACAUCAACCCAUAUCCAACAGAAUAUUAAAUUAAUAUUAGAAAAAAUUAUUAAGUAAUUGGAAAAAAAAAAGAAGAGACUAAUUUUCAUUGAAACCCACCGACAAACUAUACGUGUCCAUAGCUUUUGAUUAGUGCAUUCAACGUUUAAUUGUAUAGUCCAGUUCAUAGCCGAUUACAUGGAGUAAAGAUUGUGCUCUUUCCUUUUUCACCCCUUUUGGAAUCGAUACUGUGGAGAAUUGGGUUUUUCCCUCCUUUUUUUCUUUUCUUUCCUUCUGUGCUUUGCAAAACAUAGGUAAAAAUAUGAAAUCCGAAGCAUUCUUUAAUUGGGAUUAAGUAUUGUUCUUGAAAUUAAAAAGAAGAAAGAAAGAACAACAAAAAUCCCAAUCUGGGUUGAUUGUUGAGCUCUAGUUUGGCGGCAUCGUGCUUCCAUAGAAGUUCUCUUAGUGUGAUACGCUGCUUUCAAUCAGUUUAACACGGGAAAAAGAAAAGACAUGAAAAGCAAAUUUUGUGGGGAUAAUUUCAGAAAUCUCUCCUGAAGUUUUUUACUAUUUUACUGGCCUCCUUUCAAAUUUUAAAAAUUACACUAGUCUUCCUUGAGAUUAUUUAUCUUGUAACAUUUAGGUCCAAUCAAUAAUUAAAAGAUGAUAUUAUGAGAGAGAAAAAAAUAUGAUUUUAUCAUUGCCCCCAUCUUACUACAUUAUUGAAUUAAUUUAAUAGCAACCCACACAUUAAAGAAAAAUACUAAUAUUUGCUGUUUUUCAUUGAAGAUCAAAUCACAUGUGCCAUAAAAUAUAGUAUAUCAUUUUAUAUAUUUCACUUAAUGUAAGAUCCAAAUUAUUCUUUUCAAUUACAAAUCCAUUGUUAUUAUAAAAAAAAAAAUAAACUUUAACAUCAUAAAUAUUCUUAUCAAAAUAUUAAAGUUAGUUACUAAAAUUUUUAUGGUGUUAAAGUUCACUCUUUGUAAUAUUUAUGGGUUUGUAAUUGAAAAGAAUAAUUUGGAUCUUACAUUAAGUGAAAUAUAUAGAAUGAUAUACUAUUUUUUAUGGCAUAUGUGAUUCAAUCCUUGAUGAUAAAAAGCAAAUUCAAGUGUUUUCUUUAAUGUUUGUGCUGAUAUUAGAUUAAUUAAAUAAUUUAGUAGAUGAAAGAAAAUAGUGAAAUCAUAUUAUUUUUUCUUUCCUAAUAUCACUUUUUAAUUAUUGGUUGAACUUAGAUAUUACAAAAUAAUAAAUCUCAAGGGAGAUUAGUAUAAUUUUCAAAAUUUGGAGAGAAGCUAAUGAAAUAAUCAAAAACCUUAAGGGAGGUUUACAGAAUUAUCCCAAUUAUGUGGGAAUUAGAAUAAUUGUACUGGACGGCACUGCUGCAAUAGAGGGAAAGAGGAGAAGGUGCAGUUAACUUUUGUUGUUUGAAAUCCUUGGCGAAAUAUUACAGAAAGACAGAUAAAACGGUGGUUAGUACAUAAAUGUUUAUGACAGGGAAAAUGGUACGUCUGUUAAUCACAUUUGAAACAUUUUCAUUGGUGAAUGACCAAAAGUAUCAGGCUUGUCCAAUAGUUGAUCAUUGACCAAGAUAAAACCUGCCAUGGUAGAGCCGUAGAGGUACGAUCUUUUCGUACCUCUUAGUGCACAGGACAUUCCUUUGUUUCAUCUAGCUAAUAAUCUACCAACUCAUUUCUUCACAAAUGCACCUUUUAUGGUCACGUCUACGAAAGCCUUUACAGGAUCUUUACCCUAAAAAUCAAUUCACCGACUCCCAUUUGAUGUCAGAAAUUCUUCUACUUUACUCCAAGAUUGACUGUUAAUAAUAAUGAGACAAUGACCACUUUGAAUUAGGGGUGCGCAAAAUUAUCUGCUAAUCCGAAAAUCCGUCAUAUUCGAUCUGAUCCGAUCCAAAAAUUAGGAUAUUUGAUUUUUAUUAUUUGAUCGGAUCAAAAGAGGGUCGGGUAUCCGCUAAGAUACGGGGCGAGUUAGAGUCACAUAAUUAAAAAUUCGCGGGUAUCCGAUCCGCCCCGCAUAUAUAUAUUUUUUAUUUUUAUACACACUAUAAAAUAAUAAGUUAGAACCAAAUAAGUAAUUUUAUUGAACAAAUUGCAUUACAAAUAUGAGAGACUAUAGUUUAUUUACAAGAUUCAUUUGUAAAGGUCAUGAUCUUAUAUUUUAUAGAAAAAAGUUUAAUUAAUGUGGAACAUAUAUAUUAAAAAUUGUGCUACUUAUUUCAAACUUUUAUUGAUUUUGAUUUCUUUUAAUUUUUUUCCUUUAUCUUAUAUUCUCUUCAUAUGCUUGUUUCUUGGUGGGAAACCUUUUUUUAGAAAAAAAAAAUUAUUAAAUCUUAGAUGAAUGUGUAAAAUAUAAAAUUAAAUUAGUAUAAAUCAUUUUUUUAAAAAAAUUAAAUGAUAAACGGGACGGAACGGGUACCCGCUGAUCCGACCCUAUCUUAUCGGGUACCCGCUGAUAUGCGGGGCAGGUAAAAAUCAGAAAAUGACUGACCUGUAAGGUGCAGGUCGAAUCAAUCAAAUGGUGAAUGGGACGGGUAUACGACCCGCGCCAACACCUACUUUGAAUUAUCACACCAUCCUUCUUGAUAGGAUUGGUACUAGAGGUAGGGAGGGGAGUCGGCUGCAUCCGGUCUUCUUUUCAUAGAUGUCAUUCACGCAAUAUUAUAUUUCGAAGUCAUUGCAUGGCUAAGCUGCAAAAAAGUACGAACACUUGUUAUUAUAUAGCUUAAGAUUCAAAACGUUAGAGCAUAACCCUCCACCUAACACAAUUGAAUAAUGAAUAUUCACGAUUGUCAAAUCUGUCAAAGCACAGUUUGAGGACAACCCAUUCCAACCUGCAAAAGAUUUUUUACUUUUCUAAAGUUGUUGAGAGCUGUAAAAAGACUUACCAUGCUUACAUCUUCCGAGCCUUGGGAGUUAAAAAUGAAGGCACUGAGUGCUAUAAAAAGGGGGCUAGAGGCUGCCUAGAAGCAUAUCAGCCUAAAACAAGAAUUUGUAGUUAUGAUGGGAAGCAAAGCAAAAGCAAUGGGGUCUGGGCUGACUCCUCUUCUUACCACUCUUUUAGUGGUAUUUGUUGCUCUUGGCUUGCCCUCAGAAACUGCAGCUGAUGAUCACUACAAGUAUUCAUCUCCUCCUCCUCCUUACCACUAUCCCUCACCACCACCUCCAGAGCAUUUACCUCCACCAGUGUACAAAUACAAGUCCCCACCACCACCUCAUCAUGUUUACAAGUACAAAUCUCCACCACCCCCACCACCACACCCAGUUUACAAGUAUAAGUCGCCACCACCACCUCCUCAUCCGGUACCACACCCAGUUUACAAGUAUAAGUCACCACCACCACCUCCUCAUCCGGUACCACACCCAGUUUACAAGUAUAAGUCACCACCACCACCUCCUCAUCCGGUAUACAAGUAUAAGUCUCCUCCGCCACACCACACCCAGUUUACAAGUAUAAGUCACCACCACCACCUCCUCAUCCGGUACCACACCCAGUUUACAAGUAUAAGUCACCACCACCACCUCCUCAUCCGGUAUACAAGUAUAAGUCUCCUCCGCCACCACCACACCCAGUUUACAAGUAUAAGUCACCACCACCACCUCCUCAUCCGGUACCACACCCAGUUUACAAGUACAAGUCACCACCACCUCCUCCCCCAGUUUACAAAUACAAGUCUCCAC
rnacentral:lncRNA from 1 species